UCAUGCCUGGCUCCCUGUAUGCCACAAGUGGGUAUCAAUUUUGGUUGAAAAAUUGGCUGCUGGUGGCGUACGAGGAGCCAAGCAUGA
rfam:Brassica napus, WGS project CCCW01000000 data, contig: 7340